rnacentral:rRNA from 1 species
UACGUAGGGGGCUAGCGUUGUCCGGAUUUAUUGGGCGUAAAGAGCGUGUAGGCGGCCAGGUAGGUCUGCUGUGAAAACUCGAGGCUCAACCUCGAGAUGUCGGCGGAAACCAUCUGGCUAGAGUCCGGAAGAGGAGAGUGGAAUUCCUGGUGUAGCGGUGAAAUGCGCAGAUAUCGGGAAGAACACCCGUGGCUAAGGCGGCUCUCUAGUACGGUACUGACGCUGAGACGCGAAAGCGUGGGGAGCGAACAGG